GCUGUUCAUAUGACAUACUUUAUUUCCAAUCUACAACCAUUAAAAACGCUUUAUAAGUUUACACUGUACAGUUAUUCUCAUGUCUGAAAUAAGACACAGGGGCAGGGAGAGCUGGUGGAUUGGACUGCAGUUGUCCUAGCACCCGAUCCAUCCUAGGAAGGAGCCUUUUGAAGACAGAAGUGGAAAGGAGAGAAUAGUGGACAAGAGAGGUGGACAGUUGGCCCAAGGAUGCCCUUGGUCCCUUCCCUCCCAUGGGCCUUGCCCUGGGGGUCCCCCAGGGCCCAUGACUGCAGGACCCUCACCAGGAAACCAGGCUGAGUGGGAAGGGGGUUCACAGUAUUGGCGGGGGCUGGGGAGGGGCCAGGAUGAGGAGGAAGGGCAGCUUCUGGCUCUCUUCCCAGCUGCUGGGGGUUGGAGCUGUUUUUUGGCACUGUCUACAAGGUAUCCCUGGGGUUGGGAGGAGGAGGAACUGGGGAUUUAGGAUGCUUUCUUUGUGGAGUUAAGAUUUCUUUCAGUUUGAAGAGGCGCUAUCUGGCCUAUGGUGAGGUUCCCAAGGGAGAAACAGUCAGGGUCUUCUGCCUCCUGCCUCCCCAGGACUCCCACCCCCUCCCUGGCUGGCACCAUCCACACAGCCUUUUGUAAAACCAAGACAAGUGAGAGAGGUGAGCAGGAGCAGGGAAACAAACAAUGUGUGCUUUCUCCAGGCCCUUCAACUUCUCUUCCUCUUCCAAGAGGAGCGACUAUAGGGUUGGUUUUUGUUGGUGGUGGUUCCCAAUCUCAGGAGUCCAGAUAAGGCUGGUGUUUUCCACCUGUUCUUGGCCUAGCCAGUCCCAGUCCCUCCCCAGGCUCUACUAAUGGCUAGCCCAGAUCAGCAGUUGGCAUAUUCUUAUGCGUCAGAAUCAUUUGGAGGGCUCCUUAAAACCCCAGCUUGUAGGGCCCCACUCCACAAGCUCUAAUUCAGUGGGUCUUGGGUGGGGCUGCUAAUCUGCACUUCUAUCAAGUUCCCAGGUGAUAUUCCUGCUGCUGGAAUGCAAUACAAGAACCACUGGCUGAGAAUGGUGCCCGCAGUCACCUCAUUCUGAGCAGCCUGGUGUCUCCUGGGCAGCACUAAGGAGCUGGGCCACAGCUGGCAAAGCCCAGCCUUGGGGCACCACAUCACCUGGGAAGCUGCUGGAAAUGGUCUUGGGGUGAGUCCCCCGUGCAGAGAAGUAAACUAAGGCACAGAGAUCAGUGGCAGAGCUGAGAGAGGAGCCAGGAUACCAGGGCCCAGUAGAGAAAGGAUGGGGCUGCAGGACCCUACAGCAUGAGGGGUGCUCUAGGGACCACAGGGCCAUCCUGGUGCUCAUCACAGGAUCACAAGACUGGGAAGGUAGGAGAAGUGAAGACAUCUGCCCAGACCUGGGCCAGGUUUCCAGAUUGCCAGCUGAGGUCCCUCUUCUUGGGAAUGGUUUGAGUGGCUUCCAAAUAAAGAGUGACAAGGCAGCCAGCCCUGACUGCCUCAGCCCUUCAAAGAUGUUUAGAGAAAACCAAAGGUCCCUUCCUCAGGGCAUGGUGUCCAGAAAGCUGGUGAAGGGCAGGAAGGGAGGGGAGCAGGGCCGUUGGGAUAGACAAGCAGCAGAGGAGGCUCCAAGGAGGGUGAGGAAGGAGUGGCAGGGCUGGCAUUGGAGAGAAGCCCUGAGCAGGAGACUUGGGCCCAGCAUCAUGUCCUCAGUCCCCUCAGGACUUGGGUCUGUAUAUUUUGCAAACUGCAAAUGCUGUUGGGUUGGGAGGGGUAAGGCAUAGAGUUGGGGUGAACUGUAGAUUCUGCCAGGACAAGCAGCUCUGAGAGUGGUGAGGUCCAGAGGAGAAUGGAGAGGAUGGUUGGAUACUGAAUGGACAAAGAGAUGGAUCAAUGACCAGAGACAGGGAGAGAAGAACCUGUCAGGCAGCACCUGCUUUACAGUCAAGGCCAUCUGGGCCUGGGCAGGGCAGGGGAGGAAAAAGGAGGGAUCCAAGCCCCCCCCACCCACCACCACACACACGCCCAUUGCAAAGUGCUGGGGCUGCUGCUGGCAGGCUGCUUACAGAGAAGACAGUGUGGCUUAAGGGUGGCACCGGGGGGUUGCUGGGGCAGGGUGAGCCCAGUGAGAAGGGCUGGCAGGGCUGGUGCCUCCUGAUGCAUUGGAGGAAGAGGCUUUUUUUUGUGUGUGUGAGAAAACACAAAAUAAAUAAACACAGAACCAGGACACCACCACAUUUGAGAGCAAAUAUCAGAGUUGGGAAACCACAGACGCGGACAGGAAGGCUUCCCUGGUAGGAAGCAGGGGGACAAGAAGCCAGUUACUGAGGUUACGGGAAAAUCCGCACGAGGCAGCAGUGCUGGGAAGAACAUCCUGGGAGGACUGAGGGCUGAAUACUAUAGUGAGCUCCGGACCCAGAAGAGGAAAACCUGGCAUGGACCAGGGCCACUCCAUUUGCUGGCAGGAACCAGCCAAGGAGAAGAGGAGGCAGGAGGACAAGAGGCUUUGGAGGGAGAUGAUAAAGAAAGAAUGGCCCCACGUCCAGAGGCUUCUGCAGGAACAGUGAUGAGUGGCCUUGCACAGUGGCAUGCAGGAAGUAGAAACUGGGGCUUUACUGAAAACCAAGGUCUGGCUGAGACAACAAAGAUGGCAAGGACAAUCCUGGACGGUACGAUGGUAAGGCUGAGUGGUCCGUAGGUCUUGGGGCUCAGGUCCCACGGGGAUUUCUCCCCGAGGCUGAGUACGCAGCCUCCCUGGCUGUCGCUCUGGGAGGUGGCAGAAGGCCUCUGGUGGCUUGUGGCCUGAUGUGAAUCCCCUCACCUGGAGAUAACCUUGGAGGGCCCCCCUGACCUCAUGGGUGAGAGCAGCAGCAUCCAAGAGCGGAACUGGCCCACAGCUCCACUGGCUGCCUGCUCUGCCCACACCAGUCACUGGGGCAUGGAGGAGGCGGCUGGCGGGACUGGCAUGACCCUGGUGUUCAGCCUGCAGGGAAGGGAGAUGCAGGACUUGGGGUAACUGGUCCAGGUGAUCCCGAAUGGGUGGGUCUGGGAACUGGCAGGUGGGAGGUGGGAGUGCAGGGGCGCCUCCAGAGUCCUGGGGGCAGAUCAGCAAAGCUACUGGCUUUUGGUCUUCCUGAUGGGCAAUUCUGCAGACAAGCUGAUCCAUCCUGGUGUUUCCACUCUGGGUCCCCAGUCAGUUACAGGAAGGCUGAUGUCUAUGUGUGUGUGGGGAGCAUGUGUGCAACCAAAAGGGGUUCACCGGCACCAAGGCGAGGCCAUGGGAGGCGCUGCCCCACAUGCUGCAAUGAGCCACAUCGAAAUCCAACCAAUGGCUCAGGCAGCUCACAGGGGACGUGAGGAAGGGCGGGCAGCAGAGCUGGGGCAGGGAGAAGAGCCGUGAAAGGCCAUAAGGCUAAGGAGAGAGGCUGGUGAAAAGGCUGGCAGGCUGGUGAGAACCGAGGCAGGCUGGGAGACACUCAGGUUUAUGUGCAAAGCUGCGAUAAACAACAUUCUCAAAGUUCAGUCCUGUUUUCCUGUGAGUUCUCAUUUGGGAAACUUGGAGGGAUCUCCACACUCUUAAUAGAGCUUUAGUAAUCCACGUUCGACUCAUGAAGAAAGGUGUCAGAGGGAGGGAGGGAAAUGAGACAGGCAAUGGAGAACGUCUGGGGAGUGGUGAUGGCCGUCCAGCCCUCCACCUUGUCAGUGAGUAUUUAUAGACUGACCGCUGGGGCUGGCCAAGUACCAGGCAUUGAGUAAUAAGUAGUGUUCUGAGGCCACAUGGCCAGCCGUGUUGGGGUGCAGGGCUCCAGCUCUGUUGAGGGGCCCUCCAAAGCUGACCAGGAGGCCAGGUCUCCAAACCUGGCUGCCAAGCGGCCUCGUCCACCCAGGGGACCCCAUGCCUGCCCGUGCUGUUAGAGGCCUCAUGUUGUCCCAGUGGCAAGAAUGCAUGUUUCAACCUCCAAUAAAUUACCUUAGGGACUUUGGGGUAAAUUAAAUUAUUAAAAUAAAGUAAACCACCUUAAAUAUUUAUAGUAGGAAAAAUUCAAAUAAACAAUCUAGGCAAGAUACGUGUUUCCAGGCCCCAGUCUACUGCUGUGUCCUGGGCUCUGGCCUCUUGGUGUUCUCCUGGGCCUGACCUGGCCAACCAAGAAUCUCUUACUGGGAAUAUCUUUGCCCCCCGACCAGCUGCAGGAUGUAAACACAGUGGAGAUGUAGUGCCUGCUGCCUCUCAGGGUGCCAGGGAAAGAGGCCUCUGAGAUCACUUGAGAUCAAGGCAGUGUAUUUAGGCAUUUAUCUAUGCACCAGGUCUUGAGACUGACUCUACCUAUUUCUGUCCUCAAGGGGUCUGCUGGGAACGUUGGGGCCCCAAGUCACUUUGGCAAGGAAGGCAAUUGCAAUCACUCCCCAACCCUGAGCCCUGCAUGUUUCCACUUCGCCUCCCAGCUCUUGCUGCAUCCAGGCUAUGGGCAGGGAGAUCCAGGGCUCCAGGACACUAAGCAAUGGCCCUGGCUACUGCCCUAUCAUACUCCCUAGUGUCCCAGCAAUCUAGAGCAGUGGGGCUGGGAGGAGGAGGUGGUGGAGAGAAGGAGGUGAUGGUGAUGAUGCCCAACAGGGCUCCACCAGGAACCAAACAUGGAGCCCUAGAGCAAAGCCUGUUCUUCUCAGCAGUGUCUCCUCCCAAAUGAAGGGGUGGAUGGUCAGCAGGAAACAUCUCUCCGACUCCUUUUCCCCAAAGGCAUGGCCAGACAUGUAUCCUUCUUGGGCUCUUCCAAGAGGGUGGCAUGGGCAGAACCAGGCAAGGCUCUCUCUUAGGACCCAGGGAUCGGCUCUUGACAGAUCUCUCAGUGGAUGCUUGGGAAGCCCAGGUUUGGUCUCUCUCCCACUCACUGCCUUCCCCUGGGAAGUCGAAGCUCACCACCCAGGGGCCAGCAGGAGACCCGGCUUUACCUUGAUGUGAAAGCUGCAUUCUGGCAGUGGCAUCACUGCUGUCCCUCCAGGGCCAGGCAAUGCUGAGGACACAGCCCCUCGCCUCACCUCGUCUCGUCUCUGCUGGUUCCCUUCUGCUAUCCAGGGGCUGGGCUGGUUGAGGCGGGGAGCUUGGCUGCUCUGUCACUCGCUGGGGGGGAGUGCCCUCUCCUCCCCACCCCAGCUGGACUCUGAAGGGUGCAGCCUGCACUUGGAAGGAGAGUGGCGGAUGGCAGAGCGGGACGAUCGGGCGAAGCAGGAGGUGAGAGACUGGGUACUACAGUCACAAACAGCGUCCUAGGAAGAGGGAGGCAGGGAGGCAGGAAGUCAAGAGGAGCCAGGAGACAUGGACCACCAUGAGCUGUGUGGUAUGCCAGGCAAGGAACUGAGACUCGGCCAUAAACCAGUUCCCAGGGGCUGAAGCUCCUCA
rnacentral:lncRNA from 1 species